CCGAGGUGUUCGGAAGUGCAUGUGAUGUUUACCAGUCGGUUGGGCUGAUGCCUCUGUUGUAUACCGGCUUGAACGGGGUGCUGCUAUGAGACACAGCAGGGAUAUUGACUGCCAAGGAAAAGAAACGCUGCCGGGUGAUGGGAGAAGAGUUAAAAAAACAAACGUGAAAUCAUCUCAGCACUAUGAUUCUGUAGAGGGAUAGAGAACCCUCCCAGCCUCGUACCCUAAGCCUUCCCCACCUGCCACAGAUCCCAUAUGUAAGACUUCCUGAUCCAAGCAAGAUUUGGGAAAACUGUUUUCAUGAGGCGAGUUCCUGCAUGUCAGAAGGAGCAUGUUGAGAUAAACAGGUAAUUAGUUGCAGUGAUGUGAGACAGGAGACAGCAGAGAGGCUGCCUCACACACCCAAAUAUUCCUAGUAUUUGCAAACGCAGCUCUGAGUGAUCAUUAAAGGCUGCUAGGAGAAGGGGAUCAGGGCUGGUGUGCAAAUUGGGGAAAUGAUAGAAAAAGAUAAAAGGG